GACGAACGCUGGCGGCGUGCUUAACACAUGCAAGUCGAACGGAAAGGCCCUGCUUGCAGGGUACUCGAGUGGCGAACGGGUGAGUAACACGUGGGUGAUCUGCCCUGCACUUCGGGAUAAGCCUGGGAAACUGGGUCUAAUACCGGAUAGGAGCCAUUUUUAGUGUGAUGGUUGGAAAGUUUUUUCGGUGUAGGAUGAGCGCGCGGCCUAUCAGCUUGUUGGUGGGGUAAUGGCCUGCCAAGGCGGCGACGGGUAGCCGGCCUGAGAGGGUGGACGGCCACAUUGGGACUGAGAUACGGCCCAGACUCCUACGGGAGGCAGCAGUGGGGGAUAUUGCACUAUGGGCGCAAGCCUGAUGCAGCGACGCCGCGUGGGGGAUGACGGCCUUCGGGUUGUAAACUCCUUUCGCUAGGGACGAAGCUUUUUGUGACGGUACCUAGAUAAGAAGCACCGGCUAACUACGUG
rnacentral:rRNA from 1 species